rnacentral:rRNA from 1 species
CCUACGGGUGGCUGCAGUGAGGAAUAUUGGUCAAUGGACGCAAGUCUGAACCAGCCAUGCCGCGUGCAGGAAGACGGCUCUAUGAGUUGUAAACUGCUUUUGUACGAGAGUAAACGCAGAUACGCGUAUCUGGAGGAAAGGAUCGUACGAAUAAGGAUCGGCCAAACCCGGGCCAAGAAGCGCGGUAAAACGGAGGAAUCCAGGGGUAACCGGAUUUAUUGGGGUUAAAGGGGGGGUAGGGGGUCGGAUCAGUUAGAGGUGAAAUCCCGAGGCUCAACCUCGGAAUUGCCUCUGAUACUGUUCGGCUAGAGAGUAGUUGCGGUAGGCGGAAUGUAUGGUGUAGCGGUGAAAUGCUUAGAGAUCAUACAGAACACCGAUUGCGAAGGCAGCUUACCAAGCUACUUCUGACGUUGAGGCACGAAAGCGUGGGGAGCAAACAGGAUUAGAUACCCUUGUAGUC